GACGAACGCUGGCGGCGUGCUUAACACAUGCCAGUCGAACGGAAAGGCCCUGCUUUUGUGGGGUGCUCGAGUGGCGAACGGGUGAGUAACACGUGAGUAACCUGCCCUUGACUUUGGGAUAACUUCAGGAAACUGGGGCUAAUACCGGAUAGGAGCUCCUGCUGCAUGGUGGGGGUUGGUAAGUUUCGGCGGUUGGGGAUGGACUCGCGGCUUAUCAGCUUGUUGGUGGGGUAGUGGCUUACCAAGCCUUUGACGGGUAGCCGGCCUGAGAGGGUGACCGGCCACAUGGGGACUGCGAUACGGCCCAGACUCCUACGGGAGGCAGCAGUGGGGAAUAUGGCACAAUGGGCGGAAGCCUGAUGCAGCAACGCCGCGUGCGGGAUGACGGCCUUCGGGUUGUAAACCGCUUUCGCCUGUGACGAAGCGUGAGUGACGGUAAUGGGUAAAGAAGCACCGGCUAACUACGUG
rnacentral:rRNA from 1 species